rnacentral:rRNA from 1 species
UGGGGAAUAUUGCACAAUGGGCGAAAGCCUGAUGCAGCAACGCCGCGUGAGGGACGACGGCCUUCGGGUUGUAAACCUCUUUAGCUAAGGAAGAAGCGAAAGUGGACGGUACUUGCAGAAAAACGCGCCGGCUAACUACGUGCCAGCAGCCGCGGUAAUACAGUAGGGGCGCAAAGCGUUAUCCGGAAAUUAUUGGGCGUAAAGAGCUCGUAGGCGGUUUGUCGCGUCUGCUGUGAAAACCCGAGGCUCAACCUCGGGCCUGCAGUGGGUACGGGCAGACUAGAGUGCGGUAGGGGAGAUUGGAACUCCUGGUGUAGCGGUGGAAUGCGCAGAUAUCAGGAAGAACACCGAUGGCGAAGGCAGAUCUCCUGGGCCGUAACUGACGCUGAGGAGCG